CCUACUGGCGGGGCGGUCGGGAGGCGAAGGGAGAGUCUUUUCAGCGCUGAGGACUGGCGCUGAGGAGGCGGCGGUGGCUCCCGGGGCGUUUGAGCGGGCUCACCCGAGCCCGCGGGCCAACGCGGAUCCAGGCCCGACCGGCGGGACCGCCCCGGACUCCCCGCGGGCCUUCCUAGCCGCCAUGGAGGACGGUGUCUAUGAACCCCCGGACCUGACUCCGGAGGAGCGGAUGGAGCUGGAGAACAUCCGGCGGCGGAAGCAGGAGCUGCUGGUGGAAAUCCAGCGCCUGCGUGAGGAGCUCAGUGAAGCCAUGAGCGAGGUGGAGGGUCUGGAGGCCAAUGAGGGCAGCAAGACCUUGCAGAGGAACCGGAAGAUGGCAAUGGGCAGGAAGAAGUUCAAUAUGGACCCCAAGAAGGGGAUCCAAUUCCUGGUGGAGAAUGAACUUUUGCAGAACACACCCGAGGAGAUUGCCCGCUUCCUGUACAAGGGCGAGGGCCUGAACAAGACGGCCAUCGGGGACUACCUGGGGGAGAGGGAAGAGCUGAACCUGGCCGUGCUCCACGCGUUCGUGGAUCUGCAUGAGUUCACCGAUCUCAAUCUGGUGCAGGCCCUCCGGCAAUUUCUCUGGAGCUUCCGCCUCCCUGGAGAGGCCCAGAAGAUCGAUCGGAUGAUGGAAGCCUUUGCCCAGCGCUACUGCCUGUGCAACCCCGGGGUUUUCCAGUCCACAGACACGUGCUACGUGCUGUCCUUCGCCGUCAUCAUGCUCAACACCAGCCUUCACAACCCCAACGUCCGGGACAAGCCGGGCCUGGAGCGCUUUGUGGCCAUGAACCGGGGCAUCAACGAGGGCGGGGACCUGCCUGAGGAGCUGCUCAGGAACCUCUAUGACAGCAUCCGAAAUGAGCCCUUCAAGAUUCCUGAGGAUGACGGGAAUGAUCUGACGCACACCUUCUUCAACCCGGACCGGGAGGGCUGGCUCCUUAAGCUGGGAGGGGGCCGGGUGAAGACGUGGAAGCGGCGCUGGUUUAUUCUCACAGACAACUGCCUCUACUAUUUUGAGUACACGACGGACAAGGAGCCCCGAGGAAUCAUCCCGCUGGAGAAUCUGAGCAUCCGCGAGGUGGACGACCCCCGGAAACCAAACUGCUUCGAGCUGUACAUCCCCAACAACAAGGGGCAGCUCAUCAAAGCCUGCAAAACAGAGGCAGAUGGCCGGGUGGUUGAGGGGAACCACAUGGUGUACCGGAUCUCGGCCCCCACGCAGGAGGAGAAGGACGAGUGGAUCAAGUCCAUCCAGGCCGCCGUGAGCGUGGACCCGUUCUAUGAGAUGUUGGCGGCAAGGAAGAAGCGGAUUUCUGUCAAGAAGAAGCAGGAGCAGCCCUGACCCCCUGCCCCCCGUUAUUUAUUACGGAGCUGCCCUGCCCGGGUGGCCGGCCCCCCGGGCCCCACGGCUGCAGAUCCAGGUCCCCGUUUGGAAGACGCAUCACCGCUCGCUCCUCGUUAUUUGUAAUUAACACGCUGUUGGGACAUUUUGGACACACAAGGAGAGAACACCACGUGACAAGGCAGUGAUUGGGGUGAUGCUUCUGCAAGCCAAGGAACACCAAAGAUUGCCAGACAACCACCGGAAGCUAGGAGACAGGCUUGGAACACAUUCUCCCUCAGAAGGAACCCAUCCGACCGACACCUUGAUCUUGGGCAUCCAGCCUCCAGAACUGUGAGAUAAUAAAUGUGGUUUAAGCCACUCAAUUUG